UUUUAUUGCUGCCAUGACUGAUGCCUGAGAAAAACAACCUAAAGGAAAGAAUUACAGACUUUGGUUUGCUGAGAUUUCAGUUCCUGUGUCCUUGGCCCUGCUGGUUCUGGGCCCAUGCUGCGGUAGAAUUUCUUGCUGUCCAGAAGGUGUGGAGGAGAAGACUGCUGAAUCCCAUGAAGACAGGAAGCAGGGAAUGAGGGCAGGGCUGCAGACCACCUUCUGCGACCAGCCAGGGGAAGACACGUGUAUCAGGCUAUGGAUGGUUACCAGGGUAACAUCAAUGAGGUGAAGAGUAUUGGCCAAAUGCACAGGACAGAAUGAGAAAGAAGAGCCUCAUACAUUCUAAGAGCAUGAACAUUGAUCAGUGGCUCUCAAACUUCCAAAUGCUGUGGGCCUUUCACUCAGCUCCAGUGACUCCCCGCAACCAUAAAAUUAUGUCUUGCAACUUCAUAAUUGUAAUUUUGCUACUGUUAUGAAUCAUAAUGUAAGUAUCUUAUCUACAGCAUAUUUGGUAUGCAACCCCAUGUAAAAAGGUCAUUCCCUCUCAAAGGGGUCUCGACCCACAGGUUGAGAAUCACUGUCAUAGAGCACUCUGUUUGUAAGCAGACUGCCCCUUGGAGAGAUUUUAAGACGCCCCUAAGUAGCCUCUGCUUUCUAAUGUUUUGGGACACCAAGUCUUUUUCAGGAGGCCAUAGCUCAGCUAUUUGGCCUCUUGGCAUCGGGUGAAAAGACCAUUGAAGAAAGGACAGGGAAUUAAAACCGGAGCUUAUCACCUGCUGAGGCAUGUCAGCAGGAAGCUGACCUUCACAGGGGCAUGCAUGUGCGUUGUCUUAAGGAUUUUAACUCAGAACAGCUAAUGUGUCAGGAGUAUUCUAUCUAGAAAAUCAUGUCACUGUUGGGAAUAAAUCCUGAUACUCUCCCA